UUUCAUGAAACUGUUUUGCUCUCACUGCCCUCAAAACCCAAACGCUCAUUACCCUUGCAAUCCUUACAGCCGCAGACGAAGAUGAAGACAAAGAUCCACAAGAGCAGCCAUCAUUGCCGAGUAGUGGAACUUGAGAUAGCUCAGCCGUUGAAACCUUCACUUAAUUUCACACCAUUUUUGAAAUCGCCUCUCUCUCUAGCGCCCCGUCAAAGUCCUUAACCGACAUGGACAUCAAGGAGAGGAGAAAGCUUGGUUGUG
rnacentral:lncRNA from 1 species